ACAGGCCUUGGGGAGGUGACCUGAAUUGUAUGGAGGGCAAAAAGAAGUGCUUUUAAAUCCUUUGUAACCUUUGGAAGUGACUCCUGUGGCCUGACAAACAGAAGACAGCCACGAACAAAAGAGAUCCUGAUUGCAGCAAGAAAUGAAAUGAAGAAGGUGGAAGUCAGGGUUAUGCAGCAGUUUGGUUCAAGCCUGAGCCACGCUGACAGUGAGCUCCAGCCUGUGAAUCUCCAUCCCCAGAGGAAUACUCACUGUGAUGUGAUAGGCUAUGGUGGACUCCUUCUG